CUCAGAAAAGCCAGCUGAUCCAAAAGAAAGUCCAGUCUACUCUGAGGUGAAGACAGGGAAAGUCACAGCAGCUGGACCUGUUGAUGUGACCUAUGCUGAGGUUGACCUCCAAAAGAAGACCAAAGCCAAGAAGAAGCGAGAAACAACAACCCCACCAGAGGCAGAUUCAGUCUAUUCUCAACUGAAGCCAGACACAACCCCAGGUCCUUGAGGGAGACGGAGGGACACACCAUCAGAGGAGAAGCAGGAUCAAUCUGGGAACAUGGGUUAUGCAUGCUCAACGCACGCAAGCACACACACAUGCAGGCAUGCUCACACACACACACAAAUAAAAACGCGCACGUACACACACACAUGCCCACGAACACACAAAUACAGAAAAAACACAUUCAUUUUUACAAGUGAACAUGUGCAGUAUUCCAAAAGCACUUGUGAUCUUAUGUUAGGUUAAUGUGAUCACAUGUGAUCUUAUGUUAAGUUAAUGUGAUAACGUGAUCUUAUGUGAAGUUAGUGUGAUAACAUGUGACAACAUAUGAAGCAACAUGUGAUGACAGAAACUGCACAUGUGAAAACGUGAUUUCACUUUACAUUCUCAUGUGUUUUUUCUGUGAGGACACACACACACACACAAUAACACCUUGUACAUUAAGGAUUUGUAUGUUAUUUUAAUUUAUCAGAUAAAUACAACCAAUAUAUUACAUUUAACCGUGUGUAUUACUGUAAAAGCUUAAAUAAAUGAUAUGGUGUAAUGAUAGAUCUUAUAAACAGCUACAGUAAUUCUAUCUGCUUUGUAUUGUGUAUUACUGUAACAGCUUAAAUAAAUGAUAUGGUGUAAUGAUGAUAGAUCUUAUAAACAGCUACAGUAAUUCUAUCUGCUUUGUAUUGUGUAUUGAAUUGUUGGGUUGUAAAUGUACUGAAAUGUAUUAUCAUUGAUUCAUUAUUUCUGUCAUUCAGAUGAUAGAAUAACAUAUUUUCUAUAUGAAUGUCACAUAUACAUGUUCGCUUCUAAUGAUCUGUACUUUUACAAUAUCUUUGCAUCAUGCUUUUUUAUUAAACUUUAAUUUUUUUAUCCA